rnacentral:rRNA from 1 species
GAUGAACGCUGGCGGCGUGCCUAAUACAUGCAAGUCGAGCGAACGGACGAGAAGCUUGCUUUUCUGAUGUUAGCGGCGGACGGGUGAGUAACACGUGGAUAACCUACCUAUAAGACUGGGAUAACUUCGGGAAACCGGAGCUAAUACCGGAUAAUAUUUUGAACCGCAUGGUUCAAAAGUGAAAGACGGUCUUGCUGUCACUUAUAGAUGGAUCCGCGCUGCAUUAGCUAGUUGGUAAGGUAACGGCUUACCAAGGCAACGAUGCAUAGCCGACCUGAGAGGGUGAUCGGCCACACUGGAACUGAGACACGGUCCAGACUCCUACGGGAGGCAGCAGUAGGGAAUCUUCCGCAAUGGGCGAAAGCCUGACGGAGCAACGCCGCGUGAGUGAUGAAGGUCUUCGGAUCGUAAAACUCUGUUAUUAGGGAAGAACAUAUGUGUAAGUAACUGUGCACAUCUUGACGGUACCUAAUCAGAAAGCCACGGCUAACUACGUGCCAGCAGCCGCGGUAAUACGUAGGUGGCAAGCGUUAUCCGGAAUUAUUGGGCGUAAAGCGCGCGUAGGCGGUUUUUUAAGUCCGAUGUGAAAGCCCACGGCUCAACCGUGGAGGGUCAUUGGAAACUGGAAAACUUGAGUGCAGAAGAGGAAAGUGGAAUUCCAUGUGUAGCGGUGAAAUGCGCAGAGAUGUGGAGGAACACCAGUGGCGAAGGCGACUUUCUGGUCUGUAACUGACGCUGAUGUGCGAAAGCGUGGGGAUCAAACAGGAUUAGAUACCCUGGUAGUCCACGCCGUAAACGAUGAGUGCUAAGUGUUAGGGGGUUUCCGCCCCUUAGUGCUGCAGCUAACGCAUUAAGCACUCCGCCUGGGGAGUACGACCGCAAGGUUGAAACUCAAAGGAAUUGACGGGGGCCCGCACAAGCGGUGGAGCAUGUGGUUUAAUUCGAAGCAACGCGAAGAACCUUACCAAAUCUUGACAUCCUUUGACAACUCUAGAGAUAGAGCCUUCCCCUUCGGGGGACAAAGUGACAGGUGGUGCAUGGUUGUCGUCAGCUCGUGUCGUGAGAUGUUGGGUUAAGUCCCGCAACGAGCGCAACCCUUAAGCUUAGUUGCCAUCAUUAAGUUGGGCACUCUAAGUUGACUGCCGGUGACAAACCGGAGGAAGGUGGGGAUGACGUCAAAUCAUCAUGCCCCUUAUGAUUUGGGCUACGCACGUGCUACAAUGGACAAUACAAAGGGCAGCGAAACCGGGAGGUCAAGCAAAUCCCAUAAAGUUGUUCUCAGUUCGGAUUGUAGUCUGCAACUCGACUACAUGAAGUUGGGAUCGCUAGUAAUCGUAGAUCAGCAUGCUACGGUGAAUACGUUCCCGGGUCU